rnacentral:rRNA from 1 species
AUGCAAGAGGCAAAGAAAUCAAUGAAAGAAAAAGGUAUUAAAGCUGAAGACGUUAAGAAUUUACCUCCUAUUGAAGAAAUACAUGGUCUUAAUAUACCACCUGUUGAAGAACCACAUUGUCUUGAUAACCCGACACAGGUAGUAAAGGUAAAUUCUCUCUAUAGAUAUGAUAAAGUUGAAAUCCCCUCUACUAAAUUUCAUAGCCCGUUCUUAGAUAAAUUUGAUGACUUUAUGGCUAGACAAGAAAGUUUUAAUGCUUAUGUUGGUAGAGAGUUAAAGAUUAAUACUUUCGAGAUAGGACAUGUAAGCGAUAAUCUGGCUAGAGUUAAAGAUGAACUCAAACUCGUUAGCAAAUAUGCUUCUAUGGUUGCUACUCAAGCUGAGCAAGUACUUAAGGCUCAAAAUGAUUUGCUUGAUGAAUUAAAUAAUAAAAAUUACUUUGCUGUUAGAGUGGCUACUAGAACUGGUAGAAUGACUCAGGAACUUUUGUAUCCUAAAGGCCACCCUAAAAGAAUUGAGCAAGAUUCUCAGAGAAACAAUUUAGAGGAUCCUAGUUCUUCUAAAAAGAAGAAAAAGAAAAACAAUAGAACUUUGCAUGCUUCUAGUGAACCUACUGUAGACACACCUGAGAAUCCCAAUGAUAUUUCUAUUUCUGAUGCUGAAACACAAUCUGGUGAUGAACAUGAACCUAGUGAUAAUGUCAAUGAUCAUGGUCAUGUUGAUGCUCAACCUAGCAAAAACAAUGAUGUAGAGAUUGAACCUGCUGUUGAUCUUGAUAACCCACAAUCAAAGAAUCAACAUUAUGAUAAGAGAGAUUUUGUCGCUAGGAUGCAUGGUAGAGAAAGAGAACCAUGGGUUCAGAAACCCAUGCCCUUUCCUCCUAAACCAUCCAAGUCAAAGGAUGAUGAGGAUUUUGAGCACUUUGCUGAAAUGAUCAGACCUAUUUUCUUACGUAUGCGCUUAACUGAUAUGCUGAGAGUAAAUCCUUAUGCUAGGUAUAUGAAGGAUAUCAUCACAAAUAAAAGAAAGAUACCGGAAGCUGAAAUUUCCACCAUGCUUGCUAAUUUCCAAAGAAACUUGGAGAUCCGGGUGUACCAACUAUACCAUGCUCCAUUAAAAGAAAUUAUAUUAGAACUGCUUUAUGUGAUCUUGAAGCCGGUGUUAGUGUUAUGCCUCUCUCUUUAUAUCAUAGACUUGAAUUGA